CGAGGAUCACUCAUGAGAAGGAGCGCUUGUUUUGCUGACCAGAGACACCUUACCUCUGUGCUCAUUUUGUGAAACUGCAGAGUCGCGAGGAUCACUCAUGAGAAGGAGCGCUUGUUUUGCUGACCAGAGACACCUUACCUCUGUGCUCAUUUUGUGAAACUGCAGAUGCAGAUGGAGAAUUAAAGACAACUGAUGCCACAA